UCGGCGGCGGUCGGGGGUGGCGGCUGCUUCCGUUCGCGCCGGAGGGGGUGCCCGCGCCCGGGGACGAGUUGGAGGCCUGCCUGCGGGA
rnacentral:tRNA from 1 species